rnacentral:piRNA from 1 species
UCGUUAAAAUGCAGGCAGCCUCCUGUCAAC